rnacentral:rRNA from 1 species
GACGAACGCUGGCGGCGUGCUUAACACAUGCAAGUCGAACGGAAAGGCCCUGCUUUUUUGGGGUGCUCGAGUGGCGAACGGGUGAGGAACACGUGAGUAACCUGCCCUUGACUUUGGGAUAACUUCAGGAAACUGGGGCUAAUACCGGAUAGGAGCUCCUGUUGCAUUGUGGGGGUUGGAAAUUUUCGGCGGUUGGGGAUGGACUCGCGGCUUAUCAGCUUGUUGGUGGGGUAGUGGCUGACCAAGGCUUUGACGGGUAGCCGGCCUGAGAGGGUGACCGGCCACAUUGGGACUGAGAUACGGCCCAGACUCCUACGGGAGGCAGCAGUGGGGAAUAUUGCACAAUGGGCGGAAGCCUGAUGCAGAAACGCCGCGUGCGGGAUGCCGGCCUUCGGGUUGUAAACCGCUUUCGCCUGUGACGAAGCGUGAGUGACGGUAAUGGGUAAAGAAGCACCGGCUAACUACGUG